rnacentral:rRNA from 1 species
CUUUUAUGAACUCUGACCUCAAAUCAGGUAGGACUACCCGCUGAACUUAACAUA